UACAGAGGUGGCAAGCGUUGUUCGGAAUUACUGGGCGUAAAGGGCGUGUAGGCGGUCGCCUAAGUCAGACGUGAAAUCCCCAAGCUUAACUUGGGAACUGCGUCUGAUACUGGGUGGCUUGAGUUCGGGAGAGGAAUGUGGAAUUCCAGGUGUAGCGGUGAAAUGCGUAGAUAUCUGGAGGAACACCGGUGGCGAAGGCGGCAUCCUGGACCGGUAUUGACGCUGAGGAGCGAAAGCCAGGGGAGCAAACGGG
rnacentral:rRNA from 1 species